AUAAUACUCCAUAGAUUAGAGACACUGGAAUGUUCUUUAGUCGAAAGUUCUGGCGCCUUAGGAUGGAUCUGCGGUCGAUUAGGUUGUUGUUGGGGUAACGGCCCAACAAGCCUGUAAUCGAUACGGGUUGUGGGAGCAAGAGCCCGGAGAUGGAAUCUGAGACACGAUUCCAGGCCCUACGGGGCGCAGCAGGCGCGAAAACUUUACAAUGCAGGAAACUGUGAUAAGGGAACUCCGAGUGCCCGUAUACGCGGGCUGUCCAGGUGUUUAAAAAUCAUCUGAAGAAAGGGCCGGGCAAGACCGGUGCCAGCCGUCGCGGUAAUACCGGCGGCUCGAGUGGUGGCCACUAUUAUUGGGCUUAAAGCGUCCGUAGCUGGACCGAUAAGUCUCUUGGGAAAUCCGCCGGCUCAACCGGCGGGCGUCUAAGGGAUACUGUUAGUCUAGGGACCGGGAGAGGUGAGAGGUACUCCGGGGGUAGGAGUGAAAUCCUGUAAUCCCCGGGGGACCACCGAUGGCGAAGGCAUCUCACCAGAACGGCUCCGACAGUGAGGGACGAAAGCUGGGGGAGCGAACCGGAUUAGAUACCCGGGUAGUCCCAGCCGUAAACUAUGCGCGUUAGGUGU
rnacentral:rRNA from 1 species